GGCUCACUUGGCCUCUGGCAGGGUGUGUGCAGGGCAGGGAGCGGCGUCCGCCCAGCAGGAAUUCCCUAGGACUUGACCCGCUUCACUUCUGUACUAGAAGCACCACUGCCCCGUGACCGUUCCUUCCUGGAAUUAGUUCUCAAUGCCUGGGUGUACGUGAAUACGAGGGUCGGACCCCCAGCCCAACAUUACGUAUUUUCCCCUAGUGCUAACUAGAGUGACAUUCCUUCACUGUACCCGAAAUACUUCAGGAAAGCGGAGGUAGGUCGUUAUUCCCUCGCAGGACCAUGAACACUAGCCGCUCGUCCUGAGAGCAGUGAACACCAGGGUCUAUACAGCUAGUUUUAAAUUUACGUUUGCACACAGGCACGUCGCUUGGAAGUCAGAGUCUUCUGCCCUCUCGAAGAACCAAGAUGUGUCCUUGUCUAGUAAAGCCUCACCCACACUGCGGAGCGCUCCAAUGCCCCAUCCAGAAGCCCAGGACUUAAGUAGGUUUGUUUUCUAACAGUUUCAAGGUUACAUGCUAACUCCUGGGAAUUCCAGUGAAGUAGGAAGCUGGGAUCCUUCAAGACCACUUUUCUGACUCUUGUCAAAGAGUCUACUCUGGUUUCUCAACUCUGCCCUUGAGUUGAAGGAGGCUUCUACCCUCAGACACGACACAGAACCAGACAGGGUUGAAUCCAGUGUGAGCCUGUGCAAGCGGCAGAAUGGGGGCACUCACAUCACAGGCCACAGCAAAGGCCCAGAUAUCACAGAACAGGAGAGAAGCAGGAACUCAGCCCCAGUGGACCACCCUGCAGUGUGCUCGGGGAGCUGUGCCGGAGUGACCAUCUACACUAUCAGCUCACUGUUCCUGUCAUUUCCAGCCAGAAGAGGGCACCAGACCUCAUUAUGUGGUUGCUGGGAAUUGAACGCAGGACCUUUGGAAGAGCAGGCAACGCUCUUAACCACUGAGCCAUCUCUCCAGCCCUAGUUUGAGUGUUUUUAAGUUGGAUUCUACUAACCAAAUAAUCAUUCCUAUUUUUUUUUUUUUUUGGUUUUUCGAGACAGGGUUUCUCUGUGGCUUUGGAGCCUGUCCUGGCACUAGCUCUGUAGACCAGGCUGGUCUCGAACUCACAGAGAUCCGCCUGCCUCUGCCUCUCGAGUGCUGGGAUUAAAGGCGUGCGCCACCAUCACCCGGCAUUCAUUCCUAUUUUUUAAAAGUAAAAACCAGAAGACAGAAGAACAGUCACCAGUUAAGAUCUUGUUCCAAUCACGAGCACCCACAUAACAAGAUGGCAUCCUGGCAAAUGUCUGUAACCCUGGCUCCAAGACGGGAGGAUCCUACCGCUUUCUGGCUUCUAGCCUAAGAGGACACACCACCCACCAUGCUUAUGUGCGUACACAGACGAAUUUAAUUAAAAAGGAAAGGAAAGGAAUAGCAGGCCUGGCAAGAUAGCUCAACAAGACCCAAGUUUGAUUCCCAGAAUCCAUGUAGCAAAAAGAGAGAUCCCACUCCGAGUUGUCCUCUGAUAACAUCCACACAGACACCUUGGCAACACAUACAAUAGAGUGCAAUACAAAAGUUAAAUCCUAUGGACAGUGCCACUUAAAAUUCUGCUCUGAAACCCCCAAUCCAAAAUUUCAAGACCCUGGAGAUUUGCAGCAAACAUUGGAAACUUGGUAGGUAGGACCACUUUCCAACUCAGCCCAUGCCUGGGACGGAGAAGGCAGAAAGAUGGCAGUUUCAGGACUGCCCAGACUACUCACCCAGCAAGAUCUUAUCUCAUAACAAUAUGAGAUCCAGACUUAAGGAGUCUGGGCCCAAAGCACUGCUGGCCUUCCAAGUAGGCAAGAAUAAACCAUCCCAAGGGUGUAUGGACCCUGAGACAAAUCAGGGUUUGAAAGGAGGGAAGGGGGGGGGGGGAUAAGGCAAACCAGGCUGGCUUGACUUGCUUCCUCUUGUCCCCUGCGCCCUAACCUACCCUCAGAUAGGGUUUGUUUAUGCUCCCUUUGGAGAGUCCCUGCCUACACUGCUGACAGGUCAUGCACAAGGGUGGUGGUGCUGUGCACCUGCACUUGGCCAGCUACACCUGUGGCACACUCUCAUCCACAGAAACUAACAAGUGUACAGACUGAUUUAUGACACAACUCCUGUUCUACAGAGACAGAACGCAGACUCCCAGAAGAGAAACCUGGCAUAGCCCUCCCUCCUCAGGGUGAUAACAUUCAUAGACCCUCAAGUCCUUUAUAUCAAUUAUUUCCUUAGAACCUGCACACACAAGUCUCUGAAUGACUUACACCAGAUACGAUGCAAAUACUACAUAAAUGGUAUGCUGUACUGUCUAGGGACCAAGGACAAGAAACGAGUCGGUACUUGUUCAGUGCAGCUGCACCCCCCCCCC